GGUUUCCUCUCUUCCCUGCUCCCAUCUCCUAUAUAAAGAGUUCUUGUCACUCACUUGGUUCAUCAGCCUCCUCCUCUUUCAUCUUCUUAGGGUUCAUCUGUAGUGGAAUAUGUUAUAUUAUUAUGGUGUGUUUAUAGAUUUUUUUUAAAAAAAUGAAAAAAGAGAGAAGCCAAUUUGCAGAGCAAGGACGUCAAGAAAAAAGAGAUGGCGUGAUUUGCAUUGAAGGUUGGCUAUAUCAAUGAUAAAAUUGGCGAUUCUCCGUGCCUGUCAAAUCUUUUCAUUUUGAUCAUGGCCUCGAACAAGUCGCUACAAAUCGUUUUAAAUCUCUCCUGUCUCCUCAUCUUUUGAUUUCUUUUUUUUUUUUGCUAUUUAUUUCAUAGUGAAAUGAAAGAAUAAAGAGCAUUUCAAGGCAAAUUUAAUCCAUUUUCUAAAUAAACAGGGAUCUUUGUCGACCCAGAGCUCUGAAAA